UUCCUGGUGGUCUAGUGGUUAGGACUCAGCACUUCCACCACUGCCACCCAGGUUCAAUCCCUGGUCUGGGAA
rnacentral:tRNA from 1 species